UGCGUAGGCAGCAAGCGUUGUUCGGAGUUACUGGGCGUAAAGGGUGUGUAGGCGGUUCUUUAAGUUUGGUGUGAAAUCUCCCGGCUUAACCGGGAGGGUGCGCCGAAUACUGAGGGACUAGAGUACGGGAGAGGAAAGUGGAAUUCCUGGUGUAGCGGUGAAAUGCGUAGAUAUCAGGAGGAACACCGGUGGUGUAGACGGCUUUCUGGACCGUAACUGACGCUGAGACACGAAAGCGUGGGUAGCAAACAGG
rnacentral:rRNA from 1 species